rnacentral:rRNA from 1 species
GAUGAACGCUGGCGGCGUGCCUAAUACAUGCAAGUCGAGCGAACAGACGAGGAGCUUGCUCCUUUGACGUUAGCGGCGGACGGGUGAGUAACACGUAGGUAACCUACCUAUAAGACUGGGAUAACUUCGGGAAACCGGAGCUAAUACCGGAUAAUAUUUCGAACCGCAUGGUUCGAUAGUGAAAGAUGGCUUUGCUAUCACUUAUAGAUGGACCUGCGCCGUAUUAGCUAGUUGGUAAGGUAACGGCUUACCAAGGCAACGAUACGUAGCCGACCUGAGAGGGUGAUCGGCCACACUGGAACUGAGACACGGUCCAGACUCCUACGGGAGGCAGCAGUAGGGAAUCUUCCGCAGUGGGCGAAAGCCUGACGGAGCAACGCCGCGUGAGUGAUGAAGGUCUUCGGAUCGUAAAACUCUGUUAUAGGGAAGAACAAACGUGUAAGUAACUGUGCACGUCUUGACGGUACCUAAUCAGAAAGCCACGGCUAACUACGUG